CUUAAAACUUUAAAAUUAAAAACAAUGAAAGUUCUGAAACGUAGUUGUGACUUCUUUUCUUUUCUUCCAACCCUAGCCGCCACCUCUCACACUUCCUCCUCUGUUCCUUCACCGGUUUCCUCACCGUGAAAACCUCUGUCGACUAGCGAAAUCUUCUCAGACUAACCCUCUCUGUUCUCUGAUUCAUGUGCAGUUUGUUUAUCGCUUGGAACAAAAGGAUGUGUCUACUAAGAAAACUAUUGAAGCUUUGAAGAAUCACAAUGAUGCAGAGAGAAGAAGAAGAGCCAAAAUUAUCUCACAUAUUGAUACACUUCAGUGUCAUUCUAGGUACUUUAACAUAAUCCUUUUUCAAUCUCUCUUCAUUAACCAUUGAUAAAAACCAACUAAUCUUCUUUUUUAUGAUUACAAAUGGACAAAUCAUCAACAAAGGUAUUUGACAGUUAAAAGAGGUAAAAAGAAUGUGGAUUCAAUGGUUUUCCUUACUUAAAUAAAUCAUCUGUGUUAUGAGUAUCAACUUAGUUUGUUGUCUUAGUAUAUGAAUGAAAAAUGUUUGCCUUAUUUGUUUUACAGGUUUGGCUUUUCCUGCUUCCAAAUUUGUUCUAUAUGGCUUGUAAUGAUAAUGGAGUUUAGAUUUGUUAAUGAUAGUGAAAAUGGAUUUGUAUGUGUUGUAUGUGUUGUAUGCUUAUUAAUAUAAUACUGGGAGGUAAUAACUGUAUGCUUGUAUGUGUCUCUGAUAUUUAAAUUGAUGUGUAUGAUAUCAUGUAUUUUAAGAGUGCUAUCUAUUUAUUAAAUUUUCUGCAGAAAAUGUAAGAAGAAAAAAAAACAGGACAUUGCUCUUAUGAAUAAGAUGUUACAUUCUAUCAAGUUUAUACAUAUGAAGAAUUAUAUUUUUUUUUACAAAUUUGUAACGAUUUACGGGGGUUUUUAACCUCUGAAACAAAACCCCCGCGGUUUAAAUAAAAUAUUAUAUUUUUUAAUACAUAUGUUGACUCAGCAUAAUAAGAAAUGUAUAGUUGUCAUGCCACAUAGGCGCAAUUAACGUUUCUUCAAAAAAAUUAACGGUAAGGACCAAUUCCACUAACAGAACCGUUUUUAAAGGACUAAUAUGUAACCUUUAUUAAAUAAGGGAUUAAAGUGAAACCUAAAAUUAAAUUAAAGGAUUUGGUAUAUUAUUCUAAUUAAUUAAAUUUUCAAAUAAAAUAAUCAAUGCAUAAUUACUUUGGAACAAAUACCACUCCAUGUUCUACUUCUUAUACACAGUUUUUAAAUUUGUUUUAAUUACCAAUGCAACUAUUCGUUUCCAUUUAACAUAAAUGUUGUUCUCUCUACUUUAUAUAGAAACUAGGGUUAAUACCUAUUUUGCCCCCUGCCAUAUAGGCGACAUUUGAAAAACCCCCUGCAAAAAAAAUUUAAGAAAACAUGUUAAAAACCUGUUGGAGGUGGGAGUUGAACCCACACCCUUCAACUUAAG